AACAAAGGACUAGGGUCUGUUCUUUUUGAGUGUCGCUUGAGACACGUACAACGACUAAAAUUUACACACUGUUUCUCCUUUCUCUAUCGCUGAAUCUUUAUCGUUUAACUAGUUUCCUUCAUAAUAUCUGCAGUUUCGAUGCCGCUUGUUUUUUCAGCGACGUAUUACACCGGUACGGACGUCGCUGCUCUCCAUUUUUUACAAGGUUCCUUGUCGCUGAAUCCAAACUAUAUUAACGUCAAUUUAUGGUGUCGCUAGCGACAUGUAAAAGAACAUGGCCUUUUUAUAUAAAAUAACGAAAACGCCUUUUGGGAGCGAAGAAGAAUUAGCAGAGAGAUUACCUUCUGGGUUACCACGUGCAUAUCGUCAUAAAAGUAAAAACACACACACAAAAACAAGUAAAGACAAUGGAGAAAAUACUACCUUCCAUUGAUUCCUUGGUUUGCUCAUCGUGAGAGAGAGUGAGAGAGAAAGAGAGAAGGUAUAGAAGAGAGAU
rnacentral:lncRNA from 1 species